GGUGCGGUCGGACAUCUGCGGCGACGCAGAUCCCUGUGGCAGGGGCGCGCUAUAUAAUUAAUGAUGCCUUCGGGCAUGACUGGAGA
rfam:Erwinia carotovora subsp. atroseptica SCRI1043, complete genome